CAGCAGGUCAGCGGGACUAUGAUCUCCUGGUGAUUGGCGGGGGAUCUGGCGGCCUGGCUUGUGCCAAGGAGGCCGCUCAGCUGGGAAGGAAGGUGGCUGUGGUGGACUACGUGGAACCUUCUCCCCAAGGCACCCGGUGGGGCCUCGGUGGCACCUGCGUCAACGUGGGCUGCAUCCCCAAGAAGCUGAUGCACCAGGCGGCACUGCUGGGAGGCCUGAUCCAAGAUGCCCCCCACUACGGCUGGGAGGUGGCCCAGCCCGUGCCGCAUGACUGGAGGAAGAUGGCAGAAGCUGUUCAAAAUCACGUGAAGUCCUUGAACUGGGGCCACCGUGUCCAGCUGCAGGACAGAAAAGUCAAGUACUUUAACAUCAAAGCCAGCUUUGUUGACGAGCACACGGUUUGCGGCGUUGCCAAAGGUGGGAAAGAGAUUCUGCUAUCAGCUGACCACAUCAUCAUUGCUACUGGAGGGCGCCCGAGGUACCCCAUGCACAUCGAAGGUGCCUUGGAAUAUGGAAUCACAAGUGAUGACAUCUUCUGGCUGAAGGAAUCCCCUGGAAAAACGUUGGUGGUCGGGGCCAGCUACGUGGCCCUGGAGUGUGCUGGCUUCCUCACCGGGAUCGGGCUGGACACCACCGUCAUGAUACGCAGCAUCCCCCUCCGCGGCUUCGACCAGCAAAUGUCCUCCAUGGUCAUAGAGCACAUGGCAUCUCAUGGCACCCGGUUCCUGAGGGGCUGUGCCCCCUCCCGAGUCAGGAGGCUCCCUGAUGGCCACCUGCAGGUCACCUGGGAGGACUGCACCACGGGCAAGGAGGACACAGGCACCUUCGACACCGUCCUGUGGGCCAUAGGUCGAGUACCAGACACCAGAAGUCUGAAUUUGGAGAAGGCUGGGGUAGAUACUAGCCCCGACACUCAGAAGAUCCUGGUGGACUCCCGGGAAGGCACCUCUGUGCCCCACAUCUACGCCAUUGGUGACGUGGUGGAGGGGCGGCCUGAGCUGACACCCACGGCUAUCAUGGCUGGGAGGCUCCUGGUGCAGCGGCUCUUCCGCGGGUCCUCAGACCUGAUGGACUAUGACAAUGUUCCCACGACCGUCUUCACCCCGCUGGAGUAUGGCUGUGUGGGGCUGUCCGAGGAGGAGGCAGUGGCUCGCCACGGGCAGGAGCAUGUUGAGGUCUAUCACGCCCAUUAUAAACCGCUGGAGUUCACGGUGGCUGGACGGGAUGCAUCCCAGUGUUAUGUAAAGAUGGUGUGCCUGAGGGAGCCCCCGCAGCUGGUGCUGGGCCUGCACUUCCUUGGCCCCAAUGCAGGCGAAGUUACUCAAGGAUUUGCUCUGGGGAUCAAGUGUGGGGCCUCCUACGCGCAGGUGAUGCGGACCGUGGGUAUCCAUCCCACAUGCUCCGAGGAGGUAGUCAAGCUGCGCAUCUCCAAGCGCUCAGGCCUGGACCCCACGGUGACAGGCUGCUGAGGGUAAGCACCAUCCCUGCAGGCCAGGGCACAUGGUGCGCCCGCCACCAGCUCCUCGGAGGCCAGACCCAGGAUGGCUGCAGGCAGGUUUGGAGGGCCUCACCCCUCUCCUGGAGCGCCUGUGAGACGGUCAGCGUGGAGCACAAGUGCUGGACAGGUGGCCUGUGUGCCCCGCAGGGAUGGCUCAGGGGACUGUCCACCUCACACCUGCACCUCUCAGCCUCUGCCGCCUGGCACUGCUUCUAGGCUCCUGCUGCCAGAUGAUGACGACCUGGGUGGAAACCCACCCUGUGGGCACCCAUGUCCGAGCCCCCUGGCAUUUCUGCAGUGCAAAUAAAGAAGGUGCUUUUUCUGAAA